rnacentral:tRNA from 1 species
GGUUGUGGCUCAGCGGUAAGAGCGCUCGCCUAGCACAUUCGAGGCCCUGGAUUCAAUCCUCAGCACCA